GUGCUCACUUCAGCAGCAUGUAGACUAAAACUGGAAUGAUACAGAGAACACUGGCAAGGCUCCUGUACAGGGAGAACAAGCAAAUUCAUGGAGCAUUCCAUAUUUUU
ensembl:snRNA U6 U6 spliceosomal RNA